rnacentral:lncRNA from 1 species
GAAAGCCUUCAUGGAAAGGGUUUCAUCUUUCUGAACAUUCACCACACUGAUUCUGCCUAGUAAUUGUCUAAGAUACAGAUGAAAAUUGAUCACUAAUGAAGACCGUUAACUCAAAACCUGGCCAUAUCUCGUAUAACAAGGUGGACAAAUCCUUUUUGUGUGAGGAAGAUGUGGCUGUUGGGAGAGUCAAGUAAUUGAAUGACGUGAAUUUCCUGGAGUUUCCAUAAGUUCCUGUAAAUUUAGCCUCCAACUGAAAUAAACCAACUGAAUGUAAGACAUCAGACCCUAAAGAACCAAAGUUGUUAUUUCUGUGGAAGACCAGCCAACCUAUUCUCACAGCUGAAACAAUGGAUCUGGCCUGCAGAGUGUUAAGGCAUUCUCCAAGUUUCAAAACAAGAGUACACCAUUUUGAAGGCCUAUAAAUAGAAAGAAUUUUUCAAAUAUUAAUUCAGUAAUGACCUCUGUCUUUGGAAAAGAUAAUUGCAAUGUGUUACUGCGAACCAAUUUAAACCUGUAUUUCUCAUUGCAUUUAAUAUUUAAUUUUGUUUUUUAUCAUUAUAUAUCAACAGUUCUUUCUGGAGCAAAGCAAUCCUAUUUGACUUUUUUUUUUUUUAACCUUAUAGUGCACACACACAUGUAUGUGUAGGGUUAUUUAAACAAGGAAACAUUUACAUCAAAAUGUGCAAAGAGUUAUCCUGGAAUAGAAAUGCUGAAAAUAUAUUUUCAAGAAGUUUUAAAAUUCUAGGCUGGCCUCAAUGUAUUCAGUAGCAUGCCAGAAACAGAAAAAAAAAUUUAAUCUCUCCAUUUGCUUAUUCCUAUUAACAUAUAUAGAAAAAAAACUUGCUCUAAACCUAAUGCCUAUGCGAUAUGUUUGUUUCCUGAUGCUGAUGAUAAAUCAUAACCGGGCACUUGGUUAUAUUUUUUAAUGUUCUACAUUUCUAGCACUGCUACUGUAUUCACAAUGAGCUUUAUAUCUGACAGUAAUUUUAUUUUCAGGUUCAGUCAUAUGAUGCCUUUCUAUAGGAAUAGGUUCUAUCACAGGAACAAAUUAUUCAAAUCUAGUUUAACGGACUCAGCAAUUCUCCUCAGUUUUAUCUUGGGCAUUUUGUAUUCCUUUGCCUAAACCUAGUGGCUAUGUAACAAUUCAAUUACCAAAGUCCUUCAUCCAGAAAGUGCUGUUGAUUUCCAGUAAUUCUUAUUCUGUUUGAUUUCUUUUUUUUUUCCUCCUAGUUUAACACAUGCCAGUUGGUGUCGACUGAGUUAAAAAUCUUGAAAUAAGCCUGGCACUGUGUCAGUACAUAGGUUAAAAAAUGAAACAAAAAAAUUUAAUAAAAUAUACGCUAGAAAUGGAAAAUAAGAUUAGCAGUGGCAUUUCUUGUCAUAAGGACAUUUUCUGUCUAUGCACACAAAAUAAAACCAGCUCAGUGUAGCUGAAGAAGAGAGGAAAGAGAGAGGUGGUAUAAAUUGAAAGACGAAAAGGCAGAGACUGAGUGUACAGAAGCGCGUUGAGAGCAUGCAGUCAGCUGGCAAGAAAAGGCAACUCGAAGAGCCUCAGAAGGUAAAACCUCAGU